rnacentral:rRNA from 1 species
UAUUGCACAAUGGAGGAAACUCUGAUGCAGUGCCACCGCGUACAGGAAGAAGGUUUUCGGAGUGUAAACUAUUUUAGACAGGGAAGAAAAAAGACAGUACCUGUAGAAUAAGCUCCGGCUAACUACGUGCCAGCAGCCGCGGUAAUACGUAGGGAGCAAGCGUUAUCCGGAAUUAUUGGGUGUAAAGGGUGCGUAGACGGCAGCACAAGUCUGGAGUGAAAUGCCGGGGCUUAACCCCGGAACUGCUUUGGAAACUGUGCAGCUAGAGUGCAGGAGAGGUAAGUGGAAUUCCUAGUGUAGCGGUGAAAUGCGUAGAUAUUAGGAGGAACACCAGUGGCGAAGGCGGCUUGCUGGACUGUAACUGACGUUGAGGCUCGAAAGCGUGGGGAGCAAACAGG